GGUGAGCAAGAUGGAGUCACAGACCCAGGUCCUCGUGUGUCUGCUCCUUUGGGUGUCUGAUGCCUGUGCUGAUAUCGUAGUGUCCCAGUCUCCAUCCUCCAUGGCUGUGUCAGUAGGAGAGAAGGUCACCAUUAGAUGCAAGUCCAGUCAGAGUCUUUUUGACAGUAAAAACCAGAAGAACUACUUGAGCUGGUACCAGCAGAAGCCAGGGCAGGCUCCUAAACUGCUAAUCUACUUUGCAUCCACUCAGCACACUGGGGUCCCUGAUCGCUUCAUAGGCAGUGGAUCUGAGACAGAUUUCACUCUCACCGUCAACAGUGUCCAGACUGAAGACCUGGCAGUUUACUACUGUAUGCAAUUUUCUGAAUUUCCUCCCACAGUGUUUCAGCCUCCAACAAAAAGUUCUGAGAGUCUCAACAGCUGUCUCCACCACAGGCUGUUCUGCACCUGCACACUUCUCUCUUCUGCCUGGGAGACAGUGUGCCUGAAACUCUGA